AUUCAUCUGAAGAGUCUUAAACAGGACGAAACGCGAGUCAUUCACUGCAU
rnacentral:hammerhead_ribozyme from 1 species